GAUGAACGCUAGCUACAGGCUUAACACAUGCAAGUCGAGGGGCAGCAUGAUUGAAGCUUGCUUCAAUCGAUGGCGACCGGCGCACGGGUGAGUAACACGUAUCCAACCUGCCGAUAACUCGGGGAUAGCCUUUCGAAAGAAAGAUUAAUACCCGAUAGUAUAGUAUUUCCGCAUGGUUUCACUAUUAAAGAACUUCGGUUAUCGAUGGGGAUGCGUUCCAUUAGAUAGUUGGCGGGGUAACGGCCCACCAAGUCAACGAUGGAUAGGGGUUCUGAGAGGAAGGUCCCCCACAUUGGAACUGAGACACGGUCCAAACUCCUACGGGAGGCAGCAGUGAGGAAUAUUGGUCAAUGGACGAGAGUCCGAACCAGCCAAGUAGCGUGAAGGAUGACUGCCCUAUGGGUUGUAAACUUCUUUUAUACGGGAAUAAAGUGGAGUAUGCAUACUCCUUUGUAUGUACCGUAUGAAUAAGGAUCGGCUAACUCCGUG
rnacentral:rRNA from 1 species